AACAACGCAUCCCCCUUUACUUAGUAGGGCUUGAAAGGCUGGACAGUUUGUUUUCCUUUCCUAUCCAGUAUUUUCAAUCCAAGCCGAAAUAGGAAAAGCCGCAAGCACCACUAGUCCCGGUCGUCGGUUGAACGUCAGUAGGGUCCGAUAUUCAUUCCUUACUCAAAUAGGAAGGUGGCAGUCUCAAUCUAGCGGCGUGGUCCAGAACAAGCCUUUGCUGAUCCAUGGGGUUUUUGUUUUGGUUACAAGAAGUGCUUCUUUGCUCGCUUGCAGCGCCUCGACUCGAGUUUCCGCUGUAGGAUUGAGUGAGGUGACGAGAGCUGAAGCCAAGGUUCCUUGCUACGCUCCAUAGAUGUUCGUACGAUUCUUGUGGAUUUUGGGUGUGUUUGAAUUCAGCCUCUCGUUAGGUCUUCACUGAAGGAUUGUCCACCUUCUCAAGCCUCUCUACCAUACCCUUAGAAAGUGACAACGGAUGACUUCCAUUACUAAAUGGAAGAACUUUUCAAACUAGUUGAUAGUUGUUCCCUGGUUGCACCCCACAAUGGGUUCUAAUUUACUAAAUCACAUGUUUCUGUUUUCGGAACAUCACAUGUAGAGUUUUUUGGGGGAGAAUCACUCGGCGCGGGGCCUCCCGUGUGAGGUCAGGUGAUGGUCAACAACUCAGGCAGGAAAUGCUGAAAAGCGGCUAACGAUGCAAGAGCUCUUUUCCCCUUAUACGCUCUAAAAAAAGGGUAUGUCGGGUUUUUGGACCCUAUGUUGAGUAAGGGUUCCAAACCUUCCAAAAGUGAUAGGUAUGUGUUGUUUCUUGGCACUCUCUUUCUAUAUUAUGCCAACCUAAAAAGAGCGAUGGAAAGUGGAUUUCAGGUUCGAUAGUCUCGAGAAGGUAUUAGCCACCGGUGACCAUACUUUCGUAAAAGCACCAUUGGGCGGUGGUUCCUCUCCUUCCUCUUGAACCUCGAACAAAAAAUCGAUCUCGCCAUCAGCUCGACUAAGAGUUCCGAAUCGAAAAAGGAAACUGAACUUGACUUAAGACGAAGGAAGCGAGUGCCGAAAAAAAACCGCUUUCUUAAGGCUUCAAACUACUAGUCAUUAAGACUACUAUGAAUGAAAAGUAAGGAAGUCCUUUUCUUGACUUGGCCUGCGUGCAUUAUACCUAACCUUUUAACUUGAUUUCAAUCUCAACAAAGAAAUGAAAGCAUAACUCUUUGCUCGCUUGCAGCGCCUCUUAGUCUUUUAUUUUAGCCUGCCUUGUGAAGAUCUCUCGGGUGUCUACGGCAGAUCCGAUCAGUCUCGUGAUGAAGAGAAGUCUUUUCCGAUGUUGAAAGGUAUCGUCACGACAACUCAAUUUGUCCGGUAAACUACUCGGGGCUCCCCAUGGUUUAGUAAAAGGGAGGGGAAAUUUUUUUUUCAUCCGGGGGUUCAUUCAUUAUGAACUAAAAAGUGGUUGGCUGAUUAGUGAGGUCUUAAAAACGUCAUAGAAUUCAUGAUCGGCCAUUCCAUUUUUGCUUUCAGCAAGUAGGCGACGCGAAUCUAUGCUUUCUAUCUUUCAAUCGGAUACCAAUUGCUUGGAUGCGUUUGAAAGCCUCGAGAUGACUUGCAGAAUAAAUUCUUUCU
rnacentral:lncRNA from 1 species